rnacentral:rRNA from 1 species
UACAGAGGUCUCAAGCGUUGUUUCGGAUUCAUUUGGGCGUAAAGGGUGCGUAGGCGGCGCGGUAAGUCGGAUGUGAAAUCUCGGGGCUUAACUCCGAAACUGCAUUCGAUACUGCCGUGCUUGAGACUGGAGAGGAGACUGGAAUUUACGGUGUAGCGGUGAAAUGCGCAGAUAUCAGGAGGAACACCGGUGGCGAAAGGCGGGGUUGCUGGGCUGAUACUGACGCUGAGGCGCGAAAGCCAGGGGAGCGAAACGGGG